UGGGGAAUAUUGGGCAAUGGGGGAAACCCUGACCCAGCAACGCCGCGUGAGGGAAGAAGGUUUUCGGAUUGUAAACCUCUGUCCCAUGGGGAGAAGAGAGUGACGGUACCAUGGGAGGAAGCCCCGGCUAACUACGUGCCAGCAGCCGCGGUAAAACGUAGGGGGCGAGCGUUGUCCGGAAUUACUGGGCGUAAAGGGCGCGUAGGCGGCGGAUCAAGUCAGAUGUGAAAGACCUGUGCUUAACAUGGGGAUUGCAACUGAGACUGGUUGGCUAGAGUGCAGGAGAGGGAAGUGGAAUUCCUAGUGUAGCGGUGAAAUGCGUAGAUAUUAGGAGGAACACCAGUGGCGAAGGCGACUUUCUGGACUGCAACUGACGCUGAGGCGCGAAAGCGUGGGGAGCGAACAGG
rnacentral:rRNA from 2 species